rnacentral:lncRNA from 1 species
ACAGAGCCAUCAGCCUUAUAUUUGAUCUUAUAAACCCAUUUGCAGCCUAUGGGUUUCUUACCAGGAGGAAGAGGAACAACAUCCCAGGUGUGGUUGGCAUCCAAGGCAUCAAACUCCUUUCUCAUGGCAUCUUGCCAUACUGCAACGGAUGCAGCUUGAGAGUAAUAGAGAGGUUCAGAUUCCAGAGAAGAAGAAGAGGAGCCAUAAAAGGCAGGAAGUUGACAGUCAUAGUCCUUAAGAUAAGAUGGAGGAUUAUGCUGUCUUCCAGACUUUCUGGGAGUAGGAGCAGAUGUGGAAGAAGGCAAAUUAGGAGGAGAGGUAUCAGGAUUGAAGGAAGGAAUGGAGGCUGGAUUAGAAGAAGAACAAGUGGUGGCAGAAGGAGGAUUAAGAGAGCGACAAACAGGUAUCAACAACUCAGUGUCAGAGAAGGAAGGCUCAAGAGAAGGAACUGAGGGAAAGGAGGAUGGAACAGGAGAUGAAACAUUCUUAAAUGGAAAAGAGGUUUCAUGAAAUACAACAUCCCUGGAAACAAAGUAUUUCUUUGAAGUAAGGUAAUAAAGUUUAUAACCUUUUUUGGCAAAAGGAUACCCAAUGAAGACACAGGAAAGGAUUCUAGGUUUCAAUUUGUCCCUUUGAGGAAUUGGAACAGUCGCAUAGGCAAGGCACCCAAAAGCUCUCAAAUGGGAGUAGGCUGGUGCCUUUCCAUGUAAAACUUCAAAGGGAGAUUUAUGAUUAAGGAGUCUGGAUGGUAGUCUAUGGAUUGAAGGCAAAGUUGAUGAAGAACUGAGUGAGAGAAAGAGAGAGAAACUGAAGAACUCUCUGGAACAAAGUAUUUCUGUGAAGUAAGGUCAUAAAGUUUAUAACCUUUUUUUAGUAAAAGGAUACCCAAUGAAGACACAGGAAAGAGCUCUAGGUUUCAAUUUGUCCCUUUGAGGAAUUGGAA